rnacentral:rRNA from 1 species
CACGUAGGGGGCAAGCGUUGUCCGGAUUUAUUGGGCGUAAAGCGCACGUAGGCGGUCCUGUAAGUCGGGUGUGAAAGCCCCAGGCUUAACCUGGGAAGUGCACUCGAAACUGUAGGGCUUGAGUAUGGAAGAGGGUCUCGGAAUUCCCGGUGUAGAGGUGAAAUUCGUAGAUAUCGGGAGGAACACCGGUGGCGAAGGCGGGUCUCUGGGCCGAUACUGACGCUGAGGAGCGAAAGCGUGGGGAGCGAACAGG